rnacentral:rRNA from 1 species
GUGUCAGCAGCCGCGGUAAUACGGAGGGUGCGAGCGUUAAUCGGAAUUACUGGGCGUAAAGCGCAUGCAGGCGACCUGUUAAGUCAGAUGUGAAAGCCCGGGGCUUAACCUCGGAAUUGCAUUUGAAACUGGCAGGCUAGAGUCUUGUAGAGGGGGGUAGAAUUUCAGGUGUAGCGGUGAAAUGCGUAGGGAUCUGAAGGAAUACCGGUGGCGAAGGCGGCCCCCUGGACAGAUACUGACACUCAGAUGCGAAAGCGUGGGGAGCAAACAGGAUUAGAAACCCGCGUAGUCC